ACUCCUACGGGAGGCAGCAGUGGGGAAUAUUGGACAAUGGGGGAACCCGUGCAUCCAGCCAUGCCGCGUGUGUGAAGAAGGCCUUCGGGUUGUAAAGCACUUUCAGUGGGGAGGAAAGGUUGAUGGUUAAUACCUAUCAGCUGUGACGUUACCCACAGAAGAAGCACCGGCUAACUCCGUGCCAGCAGCCGCGGUAAUACGGAGGGUGCAAGCGUUAAUCGGAAUUACUGGGCGUAAAGCGUGCGCAGGCGGUCUGUUAAGCGAGAUGUGAAAGCCCCGGG
rnacentral:rRNA from 1 species